UCUUAUGGAUGAGCAAAGAAAUUCGUUUCUUGAGAUGGAUUCUACUCUUAGUGAAGAUACUGUGAA
rnacentral:pre_miRNA from 1 species